CUGGUAAAAAGGUGAAAACCUUUUUUACCCCCAAACUCUGUGCAAUGGAGCACACGGCUUAUGCAUCGAUGAAGCCCGCGGCAAAAAGCGAUAUGUAAUGAGAUUCGUUAGCCUCGCGAUUCAUCAAAUUGGUGAACACAUACUGGACCUCUUCGGAGGUACUUGCGUUAGAGUGCUAGUUUUCUAUCAAUUGAUCCCGGUAAAAGGUGUUUGAGUCAUUAGAUUCUUACGCCCUAGCUGGUGUAGCCGGAUUCUCUCUGAGAAACCGGAUUGUUCUUGGAAACUAUCAGUUUACUGAUGGAUCCCAGGUCAAUCUUUUAAUUUAAACUGGCCUCUAAUGUGAGAGGGUACCCCCUGGAUUUAAGCAUAU
rnacentral:misc_RNA from 1 species